rnacentral:rRNA from 1 species
ACGUACACUCCUGCGGGAGGCAGCAGUGGGGAAUUUUGGACAAUGGGCGAAAGCCUGAUCCAGCCAUGCCGCGUGCAGGAUGAAGGCCUUCGGGUUGUAAACUGCUUUUGUACGGAACGAAACGGCCUUUUCUAAUAAAUAGGGCUAAUGACGGUACCGUAAGAAUAAGCACCGGCUAACUACGUGCCAGCAGCCGCGGUAAUACGUAGGGUGCAAGCGUUAAUCGGAAUUACUGGGCGUAAAGCGUGCGCAGGCGGUUAUGUAAGACAGUUGUGAAAUCCCCGGGCUCAACCUGGGAACUGCAUCUGUGACUGCAUAGCUAGAGUACGGUAGAGGGGGAUGGAAUUCCGCGUGUAGCAGUGAAAUGCGUAGAUAUGCGGAGGAACACCGAUGGCGAAGGCAAUCCCCUGGGCCUGUACUGACGCUCAUGCACGAAAGCGUGGGGAGCAAACAGGAUUAGAUACCCUUGUAGUCCC